rfam:Human rhinovirus 79 VP1 capsid protein gene, partial cds.
GGUCUUAAUGAUGAAUUAGAAGAGGUCAUUGUCGAGAAAACGAGACAGACAUUGGCCUCUGUUUCUUCUGGACCUAAACAUACACA